rnacentral:lncRNA from 1 species
AUGGGAGGGCGGGAAGGGCGUGAUCGACGGCCUCCCGCGCGCCGUCCCCAAGCCCCGCCCCGGCUGCGGAGGCCCGGUCGCCGCCCGCCGCCCGCCCUCCCCGGCCCUCCCCGGCCCUCCCCUCCCUGCCCCGCUCUCCUCUUCCCGUCUCGGGUGGCGGCCGGCCUCCGUCCUCGCCCGCGCCGUGUCGGUUCCAGCCCUGGCUCCCCGCUCCCGUCGGGCCCCGACGCCGGCCUGAGCGCUUCCGCUGCGGCUCCGGGUGGCCGAGCCGCCGCCGGCCCCUCCGGCCUCUCCGGCCCCUGCGGCCCCUGCGCCUCGUGCUGCCUCUGGGCCGCGGCCCCGUGCGCCCCCCGCCAUGAACGAGGAGUACGACGUGAUCGUGCUGGGCACCGGCCUGACGGUGAGCCCCGUGCGGCCGGCGCCGGCGGGGGGGCGAGGGGGGGGUUCCCGGGGGCGGGGAGGGGAUGCCCGGGGUGGGGCGGGCGGGGGUCCCCAGGGCCGGGGGGGGUUCCCCGGGGCGGGGGGUGCCCGGGGCGGGGGUGUCGGAGCCGGGGGCGGGAGUGUGGGCGCGCGCCCGCCGGCUCCGGGAGGACGGCCUCUCCCGCCUGGAAGCGGAAAAGCGGCGGGCGGUGGGGGAGGGGCGCGGGCAGGGGAGGGGGAGGGGCGCGCCCGCAGCUGCGUUUCCUGCUUGGACUCGGGCCGCCCUGCCCGUUGGGCUCCGGGGCCAGGUGUGUGACGGGCCUUCGGAUGAUCGCUGUCUGCAGCGGAUGCAGCUCGGCUAACUUGGAGAAAACUAGCCCCCCCCCCCCCGCCGAUGAGAAGCGUUAUACAGACCUUUUAACCACGCUCAUCCCACUUGCGGAGCAAUCGCAGGAUUGGGGGAGUGAGUGUUCUCAAAACUUGUGUACCCGACGCUUUGUCUCCCGAGCCCUGCCGUCUUCUCCUUUAGGUUUGGUCGGUGCCCUGCGUCCAUUGCCAGCCCUGGGGGCUCCCCCCGCCUUCCCCGAUAGAUGGGUGAUGGGAGGCUGGAGGUUGGAGGCCGGCCUUGGCCUCUCUCCCUCCGAGCGGCCCCACGCAGACACGUGCCUGGCUGGGAAGUAG